rnacentral:tRNA from 1 species
CAAAUUAGAGCUUGAAAGUUUAAGCAUUUCAUUUACAUUGAAAAGAUAAUAUUUUUAUUUAAUUUGA